rnacentral:rRNA from 1 species
GAUGAACGCUGGCGGCGUGCCUAAUACAUGCAAGUCGAGCGAACGGACGAGAAGCUUGCUUCUCUGAUGUUAGCGGCGGACGGGUGAGUAACACGUGGAUAACCUACCUAUAAGACUGGGAUAACUUCGGGAAACCGGAGCUAAUACCGGAUAAUAUUUUGAACCGCAUGGUUCAAAAGUGAAAGACGGUCUUGCUGUCACUUAUAGAUGGAUCCGCGCUGCAUUAGCUAGUUGGUAAGGUAACGGCUUACCAAGCCAACGAUGCAUAGCCGACCUGAGAGGGUGAUCGGCCACACUGGAACUGAGACACGGUCCAGACUCCUACGGGAGGCAGCAGUAGGGAAUCUUCCGCAAUGGGCGAAAGCCUGACGGAGCAACGCCGCGUGAGUGAUGAAGGUCUUCGGAUCGUAAAACUCUGUUAUUAGGGAAGAACAUAUGUGUAAGUAACUGUGCACAUCUUGACGGUACCUAAUCAGAAAGCCACGGCUAACUACGUGCCAGCAGCCGCGGUAAUACGUAGGUGGCAAGCGUUAUCCGGAAUUAUUGGGCGUAAAGCGCGCGUAGGCGGUUUUUUAAGUCUGAUGUGAAAGCCCACGGCUCAACCGUGGAGGGUCAUUGGAAACUGGAAAACUUGAGUGCAGAAGAGGAAAGUGGAAUUCCAUGUGUAGCGGUGAAAUGCGCAGAGAUAUGGAGGAACACCAGUGGCGAAGGCGACUUUCUGGUCUGUAACUGACGCUGAUGUGCGAAAGCGUGGGGAUCAAACAGGAUUAGAUACCCUGGUAGUCCACGCCGUAAACGAUGAGUGCUAAGUGUUAGGGGGUUUCCGCCCCUUAGUGCUGCAGCUAACGCAUUAAGCACUCCGCCUGGGGAGUACGACCGCAAGGUUGAAACUCAAAGGAAUUGACGGGGACCCGCACAAGCGGUGGAGCAUGUGGUUUAAUUCGAAGCAACGCGAAGAACCUUACCAAAUCUUGACAUCCUUUGACAACUCUAGAGAUAGAGCCUUCCCCUUCGGGGGACAAAGUGACAGGUGGUGCAUGGUUGUCGUCAGCUCGUGUCGUGAGAUGUUGGGUUAAGUCCCGCAACGAGCGCAACCCUUAAGCUUAGUUGCCAUCAUUAAGUUGGGCACUCUAAGUUGACUGCCGGUGACAAACCGGAGGAAGGUGGGGAUGACGUCAAAUCAUCAUGCCCCUUAUGAUUUGGGCUACACACGUGCUACAAUGGACAAUACAAAGGGCAGCGAAACCGCGAGGUCAAGCAAAUCCCAUAAAGUUGUUCUCAGUUCGGAUUGUAGUCUGCAACUCGACUACAUGAAGCUGGAAUCGCUAGUAAUCGUAGAUCAGCAUGCUACGGUGAAUACGUUCCCGGGUCU